GUUCGCUUCUCAGUUUCAAAGUAAUUAACUUUUCAAAACACUAGUUUAUAUUGAAAGGGGAUUAAUAAAGGAAUUCAAAGAGCAAAAAAAAUAUAUAGGUCACCGUGCUUGUUUUCAAAAUAUUAGCCAUUGAAAUUUUGGCGGGAAACUAUUGUCUCUUGACUUUUCAUAGCUUUAUCAUUGAUAAGUUCUCAAAAACUAUAAAAAAGUAAUUAAAAAUUUAUAAGACUUUUCCAGAUGGCUUAUCAUUAUACAUGUAAAAGAUUUACAAAAAGAAAAAUGGGGGUUACCGGGCAUUUUUUUUCAAGGCAUUCAAAUGGAUAAAACCAGAGGAUUCCGAAAAUCUGACAAUAUAUCCAAAACAUGACAAGCCAGCUUCCUUAAAAGAGAAGGAUGAAGCUAAAAACCAGUUUUCAAUGGAAAUAUUAAAUUCAUUAAAAAUAUUCUAACCAUUUGAGUUUUGUUUAUUGGAACUUCUGUUAUCAGACUCGCC
rnacentral:lncRNA from 1 species